GGCCGGCCCCGGGCUCUCGGCCGCCGCGGGAGGGCGUGGGGCGGGGCGGCGGCCGCCGGACUCUCCCCUCGCCUCGCCGGGCCGGGCCGGGGCCGCGCUCGGGCGCCCGCGAUCACCAAGUGACAGAAGUGCCUCGCUCCGCUGCCGCGCCGAGCUGUUUCCCGGGGGCGGAUUUCUCGCUUCUUCCUCCCUGGAUCCACCUCCUCCCACUCCACCUCCUUCCCCUCCCCUCCCCAGGGGAGGCUCCGGGGCUGAAUAUUUUCUGUCUUGAAUAAUACGGUCCCGGGAACCAACGCUGGAGAAGGGGGAUUAGCCUGGGGCGGGGUGAGGGGUGAUCGCCAACCCCCUCCCAAUGUGUGUCGGGACCUACAAGCCCUCGCCGCCCCCAACACCUCCCCCAAAGCCAGACACACAAAACCCUCCCCGCCUUCGCCAAUCUCUCGAGCUCAGAGCGGGAGCGGCCAGGAACCCGGGCUUCUGCUGCGGAAGGCUCGGUGCUCCGCGUCAGGGCCCGGGAGGGGGACCUUCAUACAGCCAGAUACCCAGAAUUGGGGGAUCCCAGGUCCCAGACGGCGGGGGACACGUCUGGGCUAUCUGGAUGGAGCGGAGCAAAAGCACAGAACUAAGAUGUGGGAAACCUGAAUCCUAGUCUUCUCCUGGGACCUCCAAGUAUGACAACACCUCUUCUCUUGUUGGGCUGUUGACAGCAUCAAAUGAGACAAUAGACAUAAAGGAGUUUUUAAAAUGAAAACAACACGUCUGGUUUCCCCAGCAGGAACUCUAUGCUUUUGUAACAUUUCACUGGCAUUUAUUAGGGACAUAUUAACCCAGUUUAAAAAAUUAGGUCUAUUCCUCUCGGAAGGCAUAGAGCAAUAACAAUACUUUCAUAACUGCCCGAGCGCUCAUUUAGAUGCAUUCCGAGUAAACCAACGUGGACACCCUCUAGGCAUCUGGGAAGUGGCAGCCAUCCACCACCCCUCAUUCUUCAUUCCAAAAGCCGACAGUAUAAUUGGUGGAAGAUGCAAAUCAAACCCUUGGCAUUCUCUUCAGCUGCCCAUCUUGGGUGUUUCUCUCAUUAACACCUCCACCAGCGGGAAGGCCGGAGAAAGGAAAACCAGCCAAACCUAAAUCCGGUGGCUACUUGUUAACCACUCUAGUGAGCGAUUUGGUCAAACAAUAGGUUUGGGGAUCAUUGUAACUGAAAGGAGAUUUGGAAUUAACUGUGGGUUUUGCAGUCAAUGUCUUGGUCGUUUUCUUUAUCCCAAAUAUUUGGAUAAGCAAGAGCUAAGAGUUUACUUUUGUUUACUUGGAAAGGCUGAUAUAUUUUCCUCUUUCAAGCAUAGGUAAUACAUGUGGAUUUCUUCGAAUCUAACUUCAGAGCAGUUUCCCUUGAGACAGCCUCAGAAAUUACUACAGCUAUAUUAAUAACAACAAAACAACCUUGUACACUAUAAUUCUUGCAAUAUAGGCAAGACGUUUUUAAAACUGGGGGCUAUGGCGUUCCCGUCAUGGCUCAGUGGUUAACGACUCUGACUAGCAUCCAUGAGGACGCAGGUUCGAUCCCUGACCUUGGGUUAAGGAUCUGUUGUUGUCAUGAGCUGCGGUGUAGGUCAAAGACUCCGCUUGGAUCCUGCGUGGCUGUGGCAUAGGCUAGCAGGUAUGGCUCCGAUUAGACCCCUAGCUUGGGACUCUCCAUAUGCCUCGGGUGCAGCCCUAAAAAUAAUAAUAAUAAUAAAGCAAAAAUAAAUAAAUAAAUAAAAAUGGGAACUAUAUCUUCAUAACAUUUUGGCUUUGUUAAUGACACGGUAUUAUUUUGGUGGGCCAUUAUCAGAGGAAUAAUGUCAAAGCCAGAAAUAGAACCAAAAUGCCCUAGCCCCUGGUCUAAUGUCAUCCCGUGAUAAUCUAUGGAUG
rnacentral:lncRNA from 1 species